CAAUAGCGUAUAUUAAAGUUGUUGCAGUUAAAAAGCUCGUAGUUGAAUUUCUGGCGGGCGCGCCGGUCUUCCAAGUGUUGUACUGGGCGCAGUCCGCCAUCCUUGUGGAGAGGGCUCGCAUUGAGUUGCGUGUCGGAUCUGCAUCAUUUACUGUGAAAAAAUUAGAGUGUUUAAAGCAGGCUGUCGCUUGAAUACAUUAGCAUGGAAUAAUAAGAUAGGACUUCGGUCUAUUUUGUUGGUUGCGAACCGAGGUAAUGAUUAAUAGGGAUAGUUGGGGGUAUUCAUAUUUAAUUGUCAGAGGUGAAAUUCUUGGAUUUAUGAAAGAUGAACAACUGCGAAAGCAUUUACCAAGGAUGUUUNCAUUA
rnacentral:rRNA from 1 species